rnacentral:other from 1 species
AAUCCCCUGCUGUGUUCGUGGAAGCCGUAGUUUCCUUGAACCAAUAUCGAGAGACCGGUUGCUGACCAUUGAAACUGCCAGUGUGCACGCCCCUCGUGGGCGAGCCUGAGGCAGAAGGAAAGUGACCCCCUGAACCAAAGGUUCAGGAUAUCCGGCGAUACGGCACGUGCGGGGGGCCC